UACGUAGGGGGGCUAGCGUUGUCCGGAAUCAUUGGGCGUAAAGAGCGUGUAGGCGGCCCGGUAAGUCCGCUGUGAAAGUCGGGGGGCUCAACCCUCGAAUGCCGGUGGAUACUGUCGGGCUAGAGUGCGGAAGAGGCGAGUGGAAUCCUGGUGUAGCGGUGAAAUGCGCAGAUAUCAGGAGGAACACCAAUUGCGAAGGCAGCUCGCUGGGACGUAACUGACGCUGGAGAACGCGAAAGCGUCGGGGAGCAAACGGGG
rnacentral:rRNA from 1 species